UGUGGAGCAGCCGGCCUGGCCGUGGCUGCUCUCCUGGAGCUGGGUUUCUCCCUCUCCUGUAUCCCGUAGUCCUGGGAUGUUCAUCAGGGAGGGGCUGGCCCUGGCAGCCCCGCUGGCUUUGGGGUGUGACUGCGGCAGAGCCGGUGGCACCCAGUGCUGAGCAGCCCUGGCACUGCCCCUGGGCUACCUCUCAGUCCUGCUCCAGCCCCGGAGCAUGGGCUGGAGGACAAGGAAAUGGCCAGAGAGAUUUUCUCACUUCUCUCCCUGCUCAUGCUGGGGAGCGAGUGCGUGAAGGUGCCACCCCGGGCUGUGACAGGGUUGUGCAAUGUUGCCUCAGCUCAACUUUGGUGCGAAUUCCAGGCCCAGGACUGGCCUGACCCCGCUGCGCUGGGGGUCAGCCACCUCUGUGUGCACAGCUGAGAGCACCCUGGUGGCACGGGGCAGUGCCAGCAGCACGGCCAGGACAGAGCUGGCGCUCCAGAGCUCCGGGGGCAGGAUGGGUUUGCCAAGGGCUUGCGCUGAGCUGCCUCUUCCACAGCAGCAGGUUCAGGCAGAACCCGCCUGGAAAAAAUCCAGGGUGUCUCCGUGUCUGGCAGCCCAGGAGGAGUACGGUUAAAGAUGCUGACGCCUUUUCAGUGCUCAAAGGACGAGGGAACGGUGCAGGAGGCAGCAGAGAUACUGAGCCCGUGCCAGCUGCUGGGUCACCGUGCCGGAGCCGAGGGCACAGCGUGAGAAUCCGUGACCCUGGGUGGGAGUUUGUGGCCCCGGGGCUCUGGCUGGCUCCGAUGCGGCAGAUGGGCUCCAGCCAGCGCUGGACGAGCCUCGGCCAGCCAAAGCUUCAGGUGGAGCACGGCACGGGGUGGCGGUGCCCCGGAGCUUGGGAUGUCCCCCGAGAGCAGCGUCGCGUUUCCCUAGCCCCGCCUUCGAGCCUUGGCUUCGGCCU